rnacentral:rRNA from 3 species
ACGGCUCAGUAACACGUAGGUAACCUACCCUUCGGACGGGCACAACCCCGGGAAACUGGGGCUAAUUCCCGAUAGGUACCCCCUUCUGGAAUGUGGGGAUAUCCAAAGCUCCGGCGCCGAAGGAUGGGCCUGCGGCCGAUUAGGUUGUUGGCGGGGUAACAGCCCACCAAGCCGACGAUCGGUACGGGCAGUGAGAGCUGUAGCCCGGAGAUGGGGACUGAGACAAGGCCCCAGGCCCUACGGGGCGCAGCAGGCGCGAAACCUUCACAAUGCACGAAAGUGUGAUGAGGGUACUCCGAGUGCGCAUACAUUGUAUGUGCUUUUCUGCAGCGUAAAUAGUUGCAGGAAUAAGGGCUGGGCAAGACCGGUGCCAGCCGCCGCGGUAACACCGGCAGCCCUAGUGGUGGCCGCUUUUAUUGGGCCUAAAGCGUCCGUAGCCGGACAGGCGAGUCUUUGGGUAAAUCCUACGUCUUAAGCGUGGGAAUUCUAAAGAUACUACCUGUCUUGAGGCCGGGAGAGGCUGGAGGUACUCCUGGGGUAGGGGUAAAAUCCUAUAAUCCUGGGGGGACCACCGAUGGCGAAGGCAUCCAGCUGGAACGGGCCUGACGGUGAGGGACGAAACCCAGGGGAGCGAGCCGGAUUAGAUACCCGGGUAGUCCUGGGCGUAAAUGAUGUGGGCUUGGUGUGAGCGCAUCGACGAGGUGCGCUUGUGCCGUAGGGAAGCCGUUAAGCCCACCGCCUGGGGAGUACGGUCGCAAGGCUGAAACUUAAAGGAAUUGGCGGGGGAGCAC